rnacentral:lncRNA from 1 species
UUAUUAUUGUUAACAUACAAUUUUGUCCAAAUAAAUAAAAUUCAUCACAAAAAUAAAUAAAAAAUAAAAAUAAAAAAUAUUAUUUGUUUUAUUGUUUGUACUUUCAAAUUAACUUUCUAACCCUUAACCUAAUAACCCAAAAUCAAACAUUUUUUUUACUUCUUCACCACCUUUUUUCUUUUCACACCGCACUCCACAUCACCCUCUGUGUCACCUUCCACAUCAUCCAUUUUCCCCUUCUACUUUUCUAUCCCAAUUUUAUAUUAAUUUAUAUUUUUAAAUUUUAUUUAUUCCAUUUAACUUUUAAGUUAUAUUUUAUCCACCACUUUUUCCACCAACAUCCAUUUUUUUCGUCUACUUUUUCACACUACUUUUAUAUUAAUUCUCACAUUUACUUUUUUUUAUUCCAUUCACUUUUCUAAAUUAUAUUUUAUUUACCACCUUCUCCACCAACCUUAUUUUAUCAUUUUCUUUGUCUAUUUUCUUCCUCUACUCUUUCACUAACAUUUUAUAUUAUUUUUCUUUACCAACUUUCUCGAACUAAUUUUCCCAUUAACAUUUAUUAUUAUUUUCUCCAUACACUCUCUUCAUCUAAUUUCUCCACCCACUUUUUAUAUUAAUUCUUUCACUUUUUUCCACCAUAACUUUUUCUAUUCGCUUUUUUAUUAUAUUUUAUUUCACCUAAUUUCUCCACCACAACUCUUUUACUUAUUUUAAUAUUUACUUUUUUUAUUAUAUUUUUAUUCAUCUAAUUUUUUUUACCUACUUAUUAUAUUAUUUUUAUUCAUCAACUUUCUCCAUCCAUAACUCUAUAAAUACCCAUACACUUUUUACCCCAUUUUUACACACAAUCACACAAUACACAUCUCUUCUCCCCAAUACCACAUAUCUUUCCACCCACUUCUUGUCUCCCAUAUUAUCACUCUUCAACACACACACACCACAUAUCUUCAGAAACACAUAUCUCUUCUCUCUACACUCUAUCAUCACACACUUCAACACACAUCUUCUCCUUCAUAUCAAUAUCUCCAUCUCUUAAAGCUUCUAUUUUCACUUGCAUUUUGAUCGGACUAUCUUUGUUUUCUCAUCCAGGUUCUUAUCCUUUCACCUCUUCUUUUUAGUUUGAAUUAUCUUAUCAAACUUUGUUUACUACUCCAUAAUUGUUUUUUUUG